rnacentral:ncRNA from 1 species
GAUGAAAUAAUGUAGGCGAUGGAAGUUAGCAAAUUAGAUCCGUAACUUUAGGAAAAGAAUUAGCUCUAAGGGCUGGGCACGGGAUCCUAGCCUCGAACCCAUUAGCUAUUGAUGGACUACUCAAGUUUCUCCUACAAUGAGAGUGGGUUAUCGUGUGCCUAUCGGGGAUUUACUGGGAAUGGUUCCUUCAAGGGCCUUCCCCACGCGUUGAACAACCAACGCAAAACUUCUAUGGACAACGGGAAUCCAACAAUUCAAUUAAAAUAAAGUAUUGCAAUGGUCCUAAUGGAUGUUCAGGCAAUGUGAUUUAUGCCCAGUGCUUUGAAGGUCAAAGUGAAGAAAUUCAACCAAGAGUGGGUAAAAGGUGGGAGUCACUAUGCUCUCAUAAGGUAUCCAAAUGCCUCAUUAUCUAAUUAGUGAUGUGGAUGAAUGGAUUAAUGAGAUUCCCAUUAUCCUUGUCUACUGUCCAGUGAAACCAUAUCUAAGAAAAUGGGCUUUGCAGAAUCAUUAGGUAAAGAAGACCCUAUUUUGCUUGAUUCUAGUUUGACGUUGUGAAAUAACUUGAGAGGUGUAGUAUAAGUAGGAUCCGAAAGGAAAAAGUGAAAUACCACUACUUUGAAUGUUAUUUUAAUUAUUCUAUGAAUAGAAGAAGGGCACUAUCCCUCUUUUUGGACCCAAGGCUUACUCUGAGGCCAAUCUGAGUGGAAGACAUUAUCAGGUGAGGUGUUUGGCUAGGGUGGCAUAUCUUCUAAAUGAUAAUAAACAUAACCAAAGAUGAGCUCAACUAGAUCGAAAAUUUUUUGUGGAACAGAAGGGUAAAAACUUAUUUGAUUCUGAUUUCCCAUACUAAUACAAACCGUGAAAGUGUGGCCAAACAAUCUUAUAGGCCUUCGGAAUUCAAAGCUAAAGGUUUCAUAAAAAUUACCAUGAGGACAACUGGGUCGUAGUAGCCAAGCGUUCAUAGCGAUGUUUCUUUUGGAUCGCUUGAUGUCGGCUCUUCCUAUUAUUGUGAAGCAGAAUUCACCAAGUGUUGGAUUAUUCAUCAACCAAUAUAGAACGUGAGCUGGAUUUAGAACAUUGUGAGACAGGUUAGUUUUAACCUACUGAUGAUAGUUUUGUAAUAGUAAUUCAACCUAGUACGAGAGGAACCAUUGAUUCACACAAUUGGCCAUCACGCUUCAUUGAAAUGCUAAUGGCACAAAGCUACUAUGUGCUAGAUUAAUACUGAAUGCCUCUAAGUUAGAAUCACGACUAUCAUUAGUCGACAUUAGGACUC